CUAUCUUCAUCUUUGAUGCAGGAUGUUAGUAAAAACUGGAAUAUUCAAGAGGCAUUUGCCACUGAAGAGAGCUUUUUUAUUGAACAUCCGGUGUAUAGCAAGCUCGCUAAUCAUUGUGGCAUUCCCCAAUUAGCGAAGAAGUUGAAUCAGAUCCUUGAGCUCCAUAUAAGAAAUGUUCAUCCAGGUUUGAAGGCUAAAUUGAAUUAUCAUAUGGUCACACUUGCUGGAGAGCUGCAAGCUUACAGAAAAGUCAUAGAUUCUAAAGAGGAACAAAGAGAGGUGUUAUUGAACAUCUUAGACAGAUAUUGUCAAGAUUUUUGUGCCAUGAUUGAUGGGAGCAACCAGAACAUGUCAACUAGACAGUUAUAUGAUAGCAGGAUCCACUAUGUUUUUGAAUCAAUUUUUGGGACGACUUUAGAGGAACUGGACCCUUGUGAAAAUCUAGCUGAUGAGAAUAUUCAGAAGACCAUCCGAAAUGUCACUGGAAUAAAACCAGCUUCAUUGUUAUUCACGGUUCUGUUUGAAGUUUUGGCAAGAAAAUAAAUUGCUCGGUUAUCAGAUCCUUCCCUGCAGUGUUUACAUUUUGUCUAUGAUGAACUGAUAGAGGUGACCCAUGAUUGUGAGUUGACUCAAUUGCAAAUGUUUCCAGUCCUCAGAAGGCGAGUAAAUGAAGUCAUGACAAGGUUUUUGUAUAACAGAGUAAAAUAUGCUGAAGAAUUCAUCUUAGAGAGCAUUGAAACGGAGGAAUAAAGCUGUUGAGCUUGCUGAGCAGCAGCUUCAAUUACAAGAGGUAUCUGCCCACGAUGGUUUAGAUGCAUUAAAGAUAGGCAAGAAGCCUCACAUAAUGCUCGAGAGAUCAGCUGGUGCUCCACCUAAAAUGGGAAGUAGUCCUCAACCAAACAGUGACAGGCCUGUUCAAUCUGACUAUCCAUCCACAAGAGCUCGGGGUAAUAUUUCACCAAUACUGGGGCGCAGUCUAUCACCAGAUUAUAAUACUGCAGCUAAAAUAUCAUCCGAACCACAGGGAAUAUCAUCCAUAAUCCAACUCGCGAAGGUCCCAUCGGUUUUAUCACCAGAAGGACAUACCAAGAUAAACUAGAAAUAUUAGUAAUCAAAAUAUUGCUAAGGUCCUAUUAUGACAUUGCUAAGUCACAUAUUCAACACAUGGUUCCGAACGCUAUAAUGCACAUUCUGAGAGAACAUCUCCAAAAAUCUAUUACAGGAGAAUGAUGAGUUUGCGGCAAAGAGAAAACAAGCUCAAGAAUCUUAUUGUGCUUUGCAGCAGGCUAUUCAGGCAUUAUGACGAAGCUCAGAUUCAAGAGGUUGUCGCCUUGCCCGCCAAUUUUUCAUCAUGAGUUCACUCGAAUACAGAUGUGAAUAAUACACCAGUUAAUAGAGGCAUACUGGAGUGUCGCUGUAUUCCUUCUUACUUGUAUUGAAAGUACAUAUGCUAGGUGCCAUAGAGGUGUAAGUUUCUUCUUUUCUUUUCAGGAGAAGAAUAAGGUGUAAGUUAUAUCAAUUAUUUAUGAAGUAUAAAUUAGAGUUUUAUUAGUUUAA